rnacentral:rRNA from 1 species
GAUGAACGCUAGCGGCAGGCCUAAUACAUGCAAGUCGAACGGUAGUGGUAGCAAUAUCAUGAGAGUGGCGCACGGGUGAGUAACGCGUAUGCAACCUGGCCUUCAGCGAGGGAUAGCCUGGAGAAAUCCAGAUUAAUACCUCAUAUUAUUUAGGAAUCACCUGAUUUUUAAAUGAAAGGAUUUAUUCACUGAAGGAUGGGCAUGCGUGACAUAGCUAGUUGGUAAGGUAACGGCUUACCAAGGCGACGAUGUCUAACUGGUCUGAGAGGAUGAUCAGUCACACUGGCACUGAGACACGGGCCAGACUCCUACGGGAGGCAGCAGUAGGGAAUAUUGGUCAAUGGGCGCAAGCCUGAACCAGCCAUGCCGCGUGC